rnacentral:hammerhead_ribozyme from 1 species
AUCCAGCUGACCAAUCCCAAAUAGGGCGAAACUCGUGUCUUGGAU